UUAGAUAUAGUCUUCAAUAUGCUCAGACUGAUUAUCUGGUAAGUGGAGGUCAUGGAUCAGAUUGGCAGUUAAUGAGAGUAUAAUUAGUAACCUCCUCCAGUCCUCCCUCCCUCCCUCUCUCCUUCACUGUCAUUUGGAGGUAGGAGGAGGAGGAUCAUUAUGCCAUUAGUUAAUUCAUAAUGUCUGUUGAUACUCAAUUGAACUGGACGAUAAAGGAGGAGAUAUUAAUGGAGACACACCCCUACCUCCUCUGGAGAAGUAACAACAACAACAAUAAACAACAAACAAGUAAACAAACAAGAGGAGGAGGAGACAGUAAUACAGGACAAGUUAAAGGUAUGUACAUGUAUCAAUUAAUAAUUAAUUCCACCCAUUGCAUUGACUGAUGAGAGACAAAGCUGCUGGCUAUUAGAAUCAACUCCUCCUACUGAUACAGUCUCUGCUAUGAUACCUUUAGCUCCUGCACCAAUGAAGGAGCAAACACAGGCGGUGGCUUAGCAGUUUAAUGAUGAGUUACUUAAGAAGGAGGCCACCACUGACUCAAGGAGUGAGACCUUCUCUUCAAUAAUGAAAGUGUGAUUCCAUUGAUAAACUCCGUAAAAGGUGUGAGCUGAGACCAUUGAUUGAGAGAUACAGGACUCACAACAGUUCAUGGACUUCUACCAGUUUACGUUUAAUGUUGUCAAAAACUCGGGCAGAAAGGACUA